rnacentral:lncRNA from 1 species
CUUUUGGGGGCAAAGCUUAAGAGAAACAUUUAAGGAAACACCCACUUGGAAGGAAGAACCAAGAGUUGACUCCAUUCCAAGACCCAUGAAAUAUCAAACGCUGGACACUUUUCAAAACAAAACAUUUUACAAAACAAAAGACGGCUCAUGAGGACCACCAGUGACCUCCGAGGGAUCAUCAGUAGCUCUUAAGAUCACAUUUUGGAGAAAAGUCGUCAGAUCUAAAGUUACCUAACUUUUAGACUCAGAAUUGAAACAGUUGUGAGCUUUGGGUCAUCAUAUUCUAAGUGAUAUUGUAUGAAAAGUCAUAUAUUAAAG